GCCCCCUUCCACCGCGCGCGCCUUUGUCGCCAUCCACCGCCCGCGCCGCCGCCUCCUCCGCCAAAUCCACCGCGUGCGCCCCCCGCCACCGCGCACCACCUCCUCCGCCAAAUCCAGCGCCCCCCGCCUGCUCGCUCCUCUCCCACCACGCGCCGCCUCCACCACGCAGCCCCCUCCGCCUCACCCACACCGCCGCACGCCGCCGUCGACUCCAUCGGCCAGCCGCCGCUACUCCCUAACUCCGACUCCACUCAAACCCUCCCCUCCUCCCCACCUCUGACUCGACCUGCACGCUGGCUUCCGCUAUCGGCUCCUCCGCCCAACGCCUUCCCAUUGCCGCAGUUGACUCCACCCUCUUCCCCACCUCCUCCGCCGCCUCCCCAUCGCCUCCACCUCUGGUGCCUGCCUCCACCUCAUCUUCCGACAUCAAGGAAGUCCCCUUGUUCAGUUUAGUUUGCCACUAUCGAUUUUGCUACAAUCGAUCUAUGUUGUUGAGCAUCUACCAAGCAGGAGAUCUAAAAAAACAUCGUACCACGGUCAAAAUCGAAAGGGCUACUGAAAUUGUUCUGCUAAAGAUGUCACUUGUCCCAGAAAUUGUCCAUUGAAGAUUUUUUUUGCUGAAGUUAUUUAUGAAUGGAGACCUGCUAAAGAUGUCACGUGUCCAAUAAAGACCUGCUUAAGAUGUCACUUGUCCAAUGAAGUUCUCUCUGUAUUUAUAUUAUCUAGAAGAGAUGCCACUUCAAUGUAGAGUAAUUCCAUAAACUUUGUUGAGAAGUUAUGACUUAAAUUUAAUGAAUGCUAAGGGUGUGUUUGCAACCCCUUUUUCCCAA